UGCCACGAGGUGGAUGGAGGGGCUGCUUUUACCCUUCCAUCUGCUGAAACAACAAACCCAGCGACUCUUCAUUCUCUUGUCCCAUGUGCUCCCCCUGCCCCAGACUGCUCUGUUUGCAGGACCAUUUGAUGUUGCCUUAGUGCAACAUUAGUUUUGCUGGGCUGGGUCUGAGAUUCAUCUCCACACGCCUCCUCAAACUUUUGUGUUUUCCUUGCAGACAGUGCUCCCUCACGCUGCCAGUUUGGUCUGUGUCUUGCUGCCUUGCCUUCUUGAGGAGCCUCCCGGUUACACUGAGAUGGAAGGAGGAACGGGAAGAGGGAAGAUUAACCUUUCACUGGCCACAAUGCGUUGCCUCUUAUUGAGGAGGAUUCAGCAGCCCAACCCCCUCCAAUCCAGCCUAUCUGUCUGAAUUGCUGAAAGCAUAAUGCUCCCAUAUGAGAGAUAAAAAACACACUUGUGUCAGGAAAAGAAAACAUAGGAGGAAGAGUUUAUCUCUGUGCAUGAUGGAGAUGGGAUAUGGAGAGGGCCAUGAAAGCAGAGGGAAAGGGGCUGAGCUGCGCAUUCAGCACUUGCUUUGCUUGGUACAUACUGCACCGCAAGCACCUCGCAGACCAUGCUUGUAUUGCGAAUGACACACUUGUGUUCUCUGCUAAUGUGAUGUUCCUGUAAAGGUGGGUAAUGCACAAACUGCAAGGAGCCCGCAAUUUGGCAUCCUUGUGCUUCUGCCUUUUGCUUUGGAAUGUAUUUAUCUGCAGCAAGAAGAGCUCACCAAAGCUCAAUGAAUUUUCCAGCAGUGUUGACUCAGAAAAGCCAGCAGAACAAUGGCAG
rnacentral:lncRNA from 1 species